UGUUACAUUUUAUUCUCUUUGUUGAUUUGAAGAGGCAGAAGCAAAACUUGCUUGCAAAACCCUAAAGGGACACUUCGAUUUGGUUCAUUCUAGAGACGGUUUGAAGUUGAGAAGAAAGGGAAAAGAGAGAGGGUUCGAAGAUAGAUUUUGGGCACUUCGAUCUGGUUCAUUCUAGAGACACUGUCCUCAUUCUUUCGGCAGGAGCAAACUCUCUUUCUCUCUUUCUCUCUCUCUGUCUCUCUCUCAUUGCGAUCAAAUGUAAAGCUUCAAUACAUCUUUCAUUAGAUUGGAGUUUAUCAAAAAAAAAAAAUAUUUGUGUUUCUCCACAUAGUUUACUUCAGAUUCUUUGAGGGUUUUGCUUGAAUGAUUCAUACACUUCAUUUUCUCUCUAGAAUAAGGCAUUCUCAUUCUCUGUUUGAUUUCUUUUCUUUUACGGUUCGAGCAUUUUGAUUUCUUUGUGAAUGAAGGAACAAUAGAGAGAAGUACACCAAUGAGGAAGUCUCACACAUCCACCACAGAUCUACUCACCUGGUCUGAAAUUCCUGUCUCCUAUUCCCCCUCAAUCACCUCUGCUGCUCAUUCUCACCAGGGAAAGUGUUAGCCAUCGGAUGGGAUCAGUAAGGUGGUGUUUGUAGGUCAGGUUACAGAUGAAGAAGUUGAGAAUUUGAACAAAAGGUGAGAGAUCCAACCAAAUUUAUGUGAAUAGUACUUUUAAGUUCUUUCCCUCAUGAUUGCAAUAAAAAAGUUCAUUGGUCAAUUCUCUCGGAAUGGGCUUAGUUAAAAUUGUUGGGAUGAGAAAGUUAUUGUGAAAACAGAAGCUUGAACAUCUUAAUGUUAUUCUUGUUCCUUAUGUGAUUGAGCCAAACAUAAUGUAAUGUUAAUCUUGUUCUUUAUUAACAGUGUUCUAUGUUUUUAGGAAUUACUAUGUUGGGAUUGAGUCUUGGUGGAGUUUAAUUGUGUGCUGUUGUGGGAUUGGGUCUUCGUAGUUUAGCUAGCUAUCAACAUGUUCUUUUUGUGUUGAUUCAACGAUUUAAUUUUUUUA